GAGUUUGAUGUGGCUCAGGAUGAACGCUGGCGGCGUGCUUAACACAUGCAAGUCAAGGGGGCCCGGAGCGCAAGCUUUGGGCAACCGGCGAACGGGUGCGUAACACGUGAGCAACCUGCCUAGGUGUGGGGGAUAGCCGGCCCAACGGCCGGGUAAUACCGCAUACGCUCAACACGAGGCAUUUCGAGUUGAGGAAACCUUCGGGGCACUAUGAGGGGCUCGCGGCCUAUCAGCUAGUUGGUGAGGUAAUGGCUCACCAAGGCUACGACGGGUAGCUGGUCUGAGAGGAUGGCCAGCCACAUUGGGACUGAGAAACGGCCCAGACUCCUACGGGAGGCAGCAGUGGGGAAUCUUGCGCAAUGGCCUAACGGCUGACGCAGCGACGCCGCGUGAGGGAUGACGCUCUUCGGAGUGUAAACCUCUUUUGCCUGGAACGAACUAUCAGCAUUUGCUGAUUUGACGGUACCGGGUGAAUAAGCACCGGCUAACUCCGUGCCAGCCGCCGCAGU
rnacentral:rRNA from 1 species